GCCUGCUGUAGCGCAAUGGAUAGCACGUUGAACUUUUAUUUCGAAGGUCGUGGGUUCGAAUCCCACCAGUGAUG